UACGUAGGGGGCUAGCGUUGUCCGGAAUCAUUGGGCGUAAAGCGCGUGUAGGCGGCUCGGUAAGUCCGCUCUGAAAGUCGGGGGCUCAACCCUCGGAUGCGGGUGGAUACUGUCGAGCUUGAGUGCGGAAGAGGCGAGUGGAAUUCCUGGUGUAGCGGUGAAAUGCGUAGAUAUCAAGAGGAACACCAGUGGCGAAGGCGAGUCCCUGGACGAUACCCGACACUGAGGCACGAAAGCUAGGGGAGCAAACAGG
rnacentral:rRNA from 1 species